GUACAUGAAUACGUGUGUGUGUGUGUGUGUAGAACUGUGUGAAUGGGAGGGGGGAGCCUCCCUCUGUCUCUUGUUCCUCAGUACCUGUCAUUGAUGAGGAGCCAAGGAGAAGCUUCAGCUUGAAGCUGUCAUCGGCCCUCUGAAUUUGUCUGCCUCACUCUAUCAACCCUCCCUCCUCCUUCCUCUCUCCCUCUCUCUCUCCCUCUCUCUCUGAUGUGGAUGCAGAGUGUGUGAGUCGUGAGCCAGCCAGCGAGCGUGUGUGUUGUGUGCCGCAGGAACCAUACAACCGCCUCUCGAGGUGUUUAAAUCUGAGACAUCGGCAGAGCGACUGGGGUGCAGGCAGCUCGCCGCCCUGACACCACUGAGACCCAUGCACCCUCUCCCGGACUGACAGGCCAAUCGCAAGCUGCCGCUCGCCCUCCCUUCAUCCAAAGUGUGCUCUCUCUCUUUCUCUGACUCGCUCACUCACACUCCCUCCUCCUCGUCUUCUUCCUCUCUCUCUCUCUCUCAUUCCUCUGUGCUCAAUCCGUGCAUCCCCUCCUCCUCCUCCUCCACCACCACCUCACACCUUUUGGUCAGAAGAGGAAGAGGAAGCCCAGCCCAGGGAGAGAUGCUGAAAGGAUGAAACUCUGACACGCCGACAGACCACAGGGAAACAAGAGCACAACUAUAAUUGCUAGAAGGAAGCACCCAGGAAGGUCAGCCAAGAACCUCGCUGUAGGUGCCAAAGUGAAAUCUACAGGACUACAAUUACUUGGACAGACUGAGGCAGCAGAGCAAAGUGAAUGACAGAUGUGUCUGCAUGCUGUUGACCGCAGUGGUUAAGGGAAUUUCAGACGUUUGUCCAUCUAAACACCAGCUGGUCUGAGUUUGACUGACUCAGACCCUCAGCAGAACAUCAAACAUCGGAGUAUCUCACUGCUUGGCUCCGUUUCACAUGAACAGAUCAAGGCUACCACAAUGUUUUCAUUCCAGUGGAAAUGUCACAUCAUUUCAAAGAGAACUUCUGUUUUAUUUAUAGCUAUCACCCUUUUAGUUUUGACUGCCUAAUAUGGACCUGGAAAAGCUCUAACCAAGCUAGCAAAAAGCAAAAGGGCCUUGCCUGCAAGAAGUAUAGCGC
ensembl:lncRNA